rnacentral:sRNA from 1 species
GCUGGGUGUGGUGGUGCACACCUGUAAUCUCAGCAAACUGGGAGGCUGGGGCAGGAGGAUUGUAAAUCCAAGGCCAACCUCAACAACUUAUGAGCAAGACCCUGCCUCAA